UUUUCGUGUUAGGCAUUCCCUGUUGAAGCUAUUGAGACCAAAAUCUGUAUCUACUUUGCUCUAUAUGCUUUUUAUAUAGUGAACUUGACUGAGAGAGCCUGCAGAGAACUUGACUGAGAGAGGAGAAACAAAUACACAGACUGAAGCUGAUUCCGGUGUCCUGAGCUUUAUUCCAUACACACACAACGCAGAAGAGGGUAGCAGCAGAGUGCAGACCGGCUACAUCAGCAGUGAUAUU